rnacentral:rRNA from 1 species
CCUACGGGAGGCAGCAGUGGGGAAUAUUGGGCAAUGGGCGAAAGCCUGACCCAGCAACGCCGCGUGAAGGAAGAAGGCUUUCGGGUUGUAAACUUCUUUUGACAGGGAAGAGCAGAAGACGGUACCUGUCGAAUAAGCCACGGCUAACUACGUGCCAGCAGCCGCGGUAAUACGUAGGUGGCAAGCGUUGUCCGGAUUUACUGGGGGUAAAGGGCGUGUAGCCGGGCUGACAAGUCAGAUGUGAAAUCCGGGGGCUCAACCCCCGAACUGCAUCUGAAACUGUUGGUCUUGAGUAUCGGAGAGGCAGGGAGAAUUCCUAGUGUAGCGGUGAAAUGCGUAGAUAUUAGGAGGAACACCAGUGGCGAAGGCGGCCUGCUGGACGACAACUGACGGUGAGGCGCGAAAGCGUGGGGAGCAAACAGGAUUAGAUACCCUGGUAGUC